rnacentral:SRP_RNA from 1 species
GCCAGGCAUGGUGGUGCAUGCCUGUAGUCCUAGCUACUCAGGAGACUGAAUUGAGAGGAUUGCUGGCACCCAGGAGGUCAAGACUGCAGUGAGCUGUGUUCAGGCCACUGCCACUCUAGCCUGGGUGACACAGCAAGACCUUAUCU